GAUGAACGCUAGCUACAGGCUUAACACAUGCAAGUCGAGGGGCAGCAUGAACAUAGCUUGCUAUGUUUGAUGGCGACCGGCGCACGGGUGCGUAACACGUAUCCAAUCUGCCCGUUACUCGGGGAUAGCCUUCUGAAAGGAAGAUUAAUACCCGAUGGCAUGUAUUUCCGGCAUCGGAGAUACAUUAAAGAUUUAUCGGUAACGGAUGAGGAUGCGUACGAUUAGCUGGUUGGCGGGGUAACGGCCCACCAAGGCGACGAUCGUUAGGGGUUCUGAGAGGAAGGUCCCCCANACUGGAACUGAGACACGGUCCAGACUCCUACGGGAGGCAGCAGUGAGGAAUAUUGGUCAAUGGUCGAGAGACUGAACCAGCCAAGUAGCGUGAAGGAUGACUGCCCUACGGGUUGUAAACUUCUUUUGUUGGGAAUAAAUGAUACUACGUGUAGUAUUUUGCUAUGUACCUUA
rnacentral:rRNA from 1 species